rnacentral:rRNA from 1 species
UUAUGGCUCAGGAUGAACGCUAGCGACAGGCUUAACACAUGCAAGUCGAGGGGCAGCACGGGAGUAGCAAUACUUGGUGGCGACCGGCGCACGGGUGAGUAACGCGUAUGCAACCUACCUAUCAGAGGGGAAUAACCCGGCGAAAGUCGGACUAAUACCGCAUAAAACAGGGGCACCGCAUGGUGAUAUUUGUUAAAGAAAUUCGCUGAUAGAUGGGCAUGCGUUCCAUUAGGUAGUUGGUGAGGUAACGGCUCACCAAGCCGACGAUGGAUAGGGAACUGAGAGGUUGGUCCCCCACACUGGUACUGAGACACGGACCAGACUCCUACGGGAGGCAGCAGUGAGGAAUAUUGGUCAAUGGGCGGGAGCCUGAACCAGCCAAGUCGCGUGAAGGAAGAAGGAUCUAUGGUUCGUAAACUUCUUUUGCAGGGGAAUAAAGUGCAGGACGUGUCCUGUUUUGUAUGUACCCUGAGAAUAAGGAUCGGCUAACUCCGUGCCAGCCGCCGC